rnacentral:misc_RNA from 1 species
CAAAGAUACAAUGCAUCAGAGUAUUUGACAGAAAAAUGAAUUUUCUACGAAGGCAAACCUUGCUAUUGGCCACAGCCAUCCAUUUUCUAUAGUUUCAAAUCCAUUAGUUUUAAACUAUAAAAAGGUCACCACAAACGGCACCCUAGGUUUGGAAAUAAACUUGACCAAAAACAUGGCAGAAAAAAAAAUUCUCUGUCAGUAAGCUAACUGUAACUAACCUAUAUCCAUAUGAAGCACAUCAGGGUCAUGAAUAAAAUGAACUUAUGCGCAUGUUCAUUUAUGUACAUGUGAAAGAAAAACAUAAAACAACUUGUA